rnacentral:lncRNA from 10 species
CAAGAAUUCAGUGGCUUAAUAAUUUAUUAUUACCUCUCAUAGUUUAGUGUGAUAACUAGGCUAAGUUGAGCAUGUCUUCUUGGAGUCUUUCCUGCAGUGAUUGGCUGGGGGCUUUCCUGGGACUGUCAGCUAUAGUGCCUUCUCAUGGCCUCUCCAUGUGACUUGGGCUUCUCAUAACAAGAGGCCUCAGGGUAGUCAGCCUUCUUUCAUGGUGACUGUCUUCUAAGAGGCAAGAAGCAGAAAGAGCCAGAUGAACUAAGGGUUACAUCCGGAAAUGAGCCCAUAUGGACCAUUGGCAAGAGAUUAACCAUUGCUGUGGAAGAGCUCUGCUAUUCCUAGAUGCUCUGGCAAGACUAACAGAAGCAGAGAGAGAGAGAAGAAUGAAAAAAAGCAAUCUGUGGAUCCCAGAGCAAGCAAACACAUCCCAGGAAUUGAAUAUUCACUUUCCCAGCCAGGCAGCAUAAAUGGCCGGGGAAGAGAAUAGUCAUGAUUCACCAUGCCUCUAGAACAGCACUGUCCGAAAAACUUUCUGCAAUGAUGAAAUGUUCUGUAUCUGCUCUGUCUAACAAGGCAGCUG